GUCCUCCUCAUAUAUAAGCCAUCGCGCAACGUAGGGGAGUGGAAAAAUCGCAGCGCUCUCCCAUGUGCGUGCUCUUGGACACGAAGGGACUGGGUAAGAGGAAGGACAGAUGUAGCAGCUCCACGCAAGCUCCAGACGGGGACUGAGAGAGUGGGUUUGGUUACGGCGGAGCGGGGCAUAGUCCCAUUGGUUUGCGACGAUCUAAAUGGGCGUGAAACCAGCAGACCUAAGCCCCGCCCACUUCUUAAAACCGAGGUGCUGUUGGCCAUCAAGGGAGCAGAAAAGGAGAAAAAAUGGAGGAGGAAAGACAAGAGAAGGAGGAGGAGGAGGAGGCUAAGAGGGCAGCUAAUAUUUUAAGAUAAUCCUCUUGACCUGUUCUCGUACUCUUGUGUAAACUCAGCGCUGUUCGCUUGCAGCUAUUGCCGCACACACUGGCAGGAGGGGCGCUCUUCUGCAACCAGACAUAAAUACAAUUAUCGCGCCAUGCAAACUCCCAGAAGUGUCCCUUUUUUUUAUUCCUCUGUUUUUGCAGAACAUAUAUUUAAGAGAAAAAUACAUCAGCUACCAGACGAGAAGGGAUGGGAAGGUCAGCGGACAUGGUUGUUUUUACACCCACUUUACAGCCGUGUCUGCAUUCCUCUCCUGGUGAGUCUCAUCUCUGUCUCACAUGCAAUAAAAAUAAGUUGAUAACAGGCACGUUUAGCUCACUACGCCCUCAGAAUACACCCCCAGCUGCUUUCAUUUUCUCCUAAUCAUCCUCAUCCUCUUCUUCACCUACUGUCAAAGAGAGCGACGGUAAUAACAUCGUUUCUCUUUUCCCACUUAUUCCAGCAGAGUGAUGCAAGGAUCUUUUUAAUGUUUUAAAAAAUAUAUAUUUUUCUGUUUCACUAUUGAGAAGAAGGGCAGAAUGACAAUACAUUUAUUAUUACAGUUCCCAAAUAAAUGUAUUUUUCAUCACUUU